GGCGCUAUGGUGUAGUGGCAGCACAUGGGAUUCUGAAAUGGGAUAUUCCCAUAACCCAGGUUCGAACCCUGGUAGUGCCU